UCAGAUCUGUUAAAACUGUAUCUGAAUUCUGAAGAGACUCUGAAGUCUGAAAGUCAAGUUUUAUUAAAAGCAAGUAUUUUGUUUCAUCUAUAUUAUUUGCAGAGUUUACGUUGCCACAAAAAGAUGACCAGUGACUUAAGCUUUAUAUUGGAACCUCCAGUCUCAUAGCUAGUCAGCAGGCCACUCAUCAGAGAGCAGAAAUGUCUGUUUAUGUCACACACUGCUGCCCCCUAGGAGUGCUUGUGUACAUUAGUUUACGUUGCCACAAAAAGAUGACCAGUGACUUAAGCUUUAUAUUGGAACCUCCAGUCUCAUAGCUAGUCAGCAGGCCACUCAUCAGAGAGCAGAAAUGUCUGUUUAUGUCACACACUGCUGCCCCCUAGGAGUGCUUGUGUACAUUAGUUUACGUUGCCACAAAAAGAUGACCAGUGACUUAAGCUUUAUAUUGGAACCUCCAGUCUCAUAGCUAGUCAGCAGGCCACUCAUCAGAGAGCAGAAAUGUCUGUUUAUGUCACACACUGCUGCCCCCUAGGAGUGCUUGUGUACAUUCAUUCAUCUGUCAUGAACACGGCUGUCCAGCCACUGAAUAGGCACCACAUCACCAGCUUUUAAUAUCUAGAGGA